GUUUAAACAUGGAGAGCCAAUAUUUCAUGGCUAAGAGUAUAAGACUAUUUAUGUGAUGGGAGCUUAAUUUCGUUUGUUCCAUUUACACAUAGCUGACCUUUGACACCAACAGGACUAGAUAGGGCUGAAAAGGGUUAUAAAAGAAGACAAAGUUCAACAGAUCUAUUCCCAAGCAAUACCUUUUUUAAAAUACAUUUACCCGCAAAUACUUUAAUGGAUACUAAAUAAAAUGCUGCACCAAAUAAUCAAUUUACAGAAAAAGUAUAUAACAUAUUGUGAAACAUUUUCUAACGCUUUGAAUGAGACUUACAAU
rnacentral:lncRNA from 1 species